ensembl:misc_RNA Metazoa_SRP Metazoan signal recognition particle RNA
ACCGGGCGCAGUGGCGCGUGCCUGUAGUCCGAGCUACUCGGGAGGCUGAGGUGGGAGGAUAGCUUGAGCCCAGGAGUUCUGGGCUGUAGUGCGCUAUGCUGAUCAGGUGUCCGCACUAAGUUCAGCAUCAGUAUGGUGACCUCCAGGGAACGGGGUACCACCAGGCUGCCUAAGGAGAGGUGAACCGACCCAGGUCAGAAAUGGAGCAGGUCAAAACUCCUGUGCUGAUCAGUAGUGGGAUCGCGCCUGUGAAUAGCUACUGCACUCCAGUCUGGGCAACACAGCGAGACCCUGACUCAA